rnacentral:rRNA from 1 species
UACAGAGGGGGCUAGCGUUGUUCGGAAUUACUGGGUGUAAAGGGUGCGCAGGUGGUUAGUUAAGUCUGAUGUGAAAUCCCUGGGCUCAACUCAGGAACUGCAUUGGAAACUGGCUAGCUUUGAGUACCGGAGAGGGAAGCGGAAUUCCUGGUGUAGCGGUGAAAUGCGUAGAUACCAGGAGGAACACCGGUGGCGAAGGCGGCUUCCUGGCCGAGUACUGACGCUCAUGCACGAAAGCGUGGGGAGCAAACGGG